CGUGAGUAACCUGCCCUUAACUCUGGGAUAAGCCUGGGAAACUGGGUCUAAUACCGGAUAUGACUCCUCAUCGCAUGGUGGGGGGUGGAAAGCUUUAUUGUGGUUUUGGAUGGACUCGCGGCCUAUCAGCUUGUUGGUGAGGUAAUGGCUCACCAAGGCGACGACGGGUAGCCGGCCUGAGAGGGUGACCGGCCACACUGGGACUGAGACACGGCCCAGACUCCUACGGGAGGCAGCAGUGGGGAAUAUUGCACAAUGGGCGAAAGCCUGAUGCAGCGACGCCGCGUGAGGGAUGACGGCCUUCGGGUUGUAAACCUCUUUCAGUAGGGAAGAAGCGAAAGUGACGGUACCUGCAGAAGAAGCGCCGGCUAACUACGUGCCAGCAGCCGCGGUAAUACGUAGGGCGCAAGCGUUAUCCGGAAUUAUUGGGCGUAAAGAGCUCGUAGGCGGUUUGUCGCGUCUGCCGUGAAAGUCCGGGGCUCAACUCCGGAUCUGCGGUGGGUACGGGCAGACUAGAGUGAUGUAGGGGAGACUG
rnacentral:rRNA from 1 species